UGUCACUGAACUAUUCCCGCAAAAAAAAAAGAAAAAAAAAACAGAGAGGUGGCAAAAGAUGAAGCGGAAGUAAGAGAGACGGAAAGCAAAGAUAGUCACGAGAAUCAUUGGCAAACUCCUCUUUUAAAGAGAAGAAGAAGAAGAAAGAUUUGGCCUUUUUCUUUGAAGAGAUCUCCUCUGCAAGAUCCUCGUGAUUCCCCUUUAACGCCUCCCUUCUUUAUAACUUCUCUCUGAAAAAUAUUCAAAGUAUCUUCUCCAAAGUUCACAACUUUCUCAGCUAUGAACGGAGUUUGGCUCGACGACGACGCCGGAGAACAUUCUCAGGCGGGCUAUAACGAUGAGCCUGUGCCGUGGGUUAGAAACCCAGAAGAAAACUGGUUUAAUAACUCACAACCACACGAUGAUUCUCAAAACGAGUUCAGAUUCAACAAUGGUGGGUUUCCUCUAAACCCUUCAGAGAAUCUGCUCCUCCUUCUUCAGCAAUCCAUUGACUCCUCUUCUCCCUUUCAACACUUCACACUCGACGCUACUACUCCUCAACAACAACAACAGCAACAACAGUCUGUCUUAGCUACAAAAGCUUGCAUCGCUUCUCUCCUCACUGUUCCCACCACCACCAACAACAACAACAACAACCCUUUUGAUAACUUCGGUUUCGACUCUCCGUUUCUAGGACAACUAAACCAGACUCCAAACUCCAUGAGUUUCCCUGUAAUGACUUCGCCACCUCCGGACUUCCUCCCUUCCCGGUCAUGUAACGUGUUCAGCCCUCUGGAGUUCGAGGGCCUCGCGAGCGGCGUUUUCGAGAACAGAGCCAAGGUUCUGAAACCUUUAGAGGUUUUGCCUUCCUCUGGCUCUGAGCUGACGCUGUUCCAGAAACGAGCUGCAAUGCGUGAGAGUUCCAGUAGCAAAAUGUGCAACUCUGACUCUUCUUCCUCUGAGGUGAGGAGAGAGGUUGGUGAUGAGACUAGUCGUGGAAUCGUGGACAUCUUUAACUACGAGUCUGAUGAGCAUAACAACAACAAAGGGAAGAAGAAAGGAAUGCCUGCUAAGAAUCUAAUGGCUGAGAGAAGGAGGAGGAAGAAGCUUAAUGAUAGGCUUUACAUGCUCAGAUCAGUUGUCCCCAAGAUCAGCAAAAUGGAUAGAGCAUCGAUACUUGGUGAUGCUAUUGAUUAUCUUAAAGAGCUCUUACAGCGAAUCAACGAUCUUCAUACCGAACUUGAAUCUACUCCAUCAAGUUCUUCAGGCUUAACACCGUCACCACAAACGCUACCUUACCGUGUUAAGGAAGAGUUGUGUCCAUCUUCCUCCUCCUUGCCAAGCCCUAAAGGCGAGCAAGCAAGAAUUGAGGUUAAGUUAAGGGAAGGAAAGGCAGUGAACAUUCACAUGUUCUGUGGAAGACGACCUGGUCUUUUACUUUCCACCAUGAGAGCUUUGGAUGACUUAGGAUUGGAUGUUCAACAGGCCGUGAUUAGCUGUUUCAACGGUUUUGCUUUGGAUGUUUUCCGCGCUGAGCAAUGCCAAGAAGGUCACGAGGUGUUUCCUGAACAAAUCAAAGCAGUGCUUCUAGACACAGCUGGUUACUCUGGUUUGCUUUGAUUCCAGUUCCUUUGCGGAACAGAAGGAAGCAUCUAUGCAGCAAAGCUAGAGAUUAUCUCCGCUGCGUUUUUACCGACUUUAAUCAUGGCGCUAAUUCGACUAAGAAAGGCGUUUGCGAAGAGGAUUGUGUUGUCUGAGUUUCUGGCUCAACGCUUUCAAAAUCUAGAGAAGAGACAAGAAAGUAACAGGCCCGUCGGGAUUUGAGUCGAUCUUCACCGAUUUGCAUUCCUAAUAUUUUUAAUGGACGAUUUACGAAUGCCAAGUUGAUUGUUCAAAACUGGAUUUGAACUAGCUAUCUGGAAAAGGGUAAAUAGCUAUUUCAACCUUUGUUGAAUUGAACUGAUCAAGACUUACUAGAGGACGACCAUUUGGAAUUGUAGAAACAUUACGAGGAAGUAUUGUGAUGGGGUCCCAUACAUUCUAUGUAAUACUAUUUUCUAAUUUGAGACUUAUGUAAUAUUACUAUACUAUUUUAUCAUGUUUCAUUUCAUUUGACGAUUACUAAAAAGUGAUCUAUUUUGUUAAGAAAUAUAGUUUGUAAUUUUCUUAAUUUUUAACUAUCGUUACAUGUUUUUAUGCC